rnacentral:rRNA from 1 species
GACGAACGCUGGCGGCGUGCCUAAUACAUGCAAGUAGAACGCUGAAGCGAGGAGCUUGCUCUUCUUGGAUGAGUGGCGAACGGGUGAGUAACGCGUAGGUAACCUGCCUUGUAGCGGGGGAUAACUAUUGGAAACGAUAGCUAAUACCGCAUAACAAUGGAUGACACAUGUCAUUUAUUUGAAAGGGGCAAUUGCUCCACUACAAGAUGGACCUGCGUUGUAUUAGCUAGUAGGUGAGGUAAUGGCUCACCUAGGCGACGAUACAUAGCCGACCUGAGAGGGUGGUCGGCCACCAUGGGACUGGGGAACGGGCCAGAAUUCCACGGGAGGCAGCAGUAGGGGAUCUUCGGCAAUGGGGGCAACCCUGACCGAGCAACGCCGCGUGAGUGGAGAAGGUUUUCGGAUCGUAAAGCUCUGUUGUAAGUCAAGAAAGGGUGUGAGAGUGGAAAGUUCACACUGUGACGGUAGCUUACCAGAAAGGGACGGCUAACUACGUG